rnacentral:rRNA from 1 species
AGUGAACGCUGGCGGUAGGCCUAACACAUGCAAGUCGAACGGCAGCACAGUAAGAGCUUGCUCUUACGGGUGGCGAGUGGCGGACGGGUGAGGAAUACAUCGGAAUCUACUUUUUCGUGGGGGAUAACGUAGGGAAACUUACGCUAAUACCGCAUAAGACCUACGGGUGAAAGCAGGGGAUCUUCGGACCUUGCGCGAUUGAAUGAGCCGAUGUCGGAUUAGCUAGUUGGCGGGGUAAAGGCCCACCAAGGCGACGAUCCGUAGCUGGUCUGAGAGGAUGAUCCGCCACACUGGAACUGAGACACGGUCCAGACUCCUACGGGAGGCAGCAGUGGGGAAUAUUGGACAAUGGGCGCAAGCCUGAUCCAGCCAUACCGCGUGGGUGAAGAAGGCCUUCGGGUUGUAAAGCCCUUUUGUUGGGAAAGAAAAGCAGCAGGUUAAUACCCCGCUGUUCUGACGGUACCCAAAGAAUAAGCACCGGCUAACUUCGUG